rnacentral:rRNA from 1 species
GGGGCCCUGAGAGGGGGAUCCCCCACACUGGUACUGAGACACGGACCAGACUCCUACGGGAGGCAGCAGUGAGGAAUAUUGGACAAUGGGCGAGAGCCUGAUCCAGCCAUGCCGCGUGCAGGAAGACUGCCCUAUGGGUUGUAAACUGCUUUUAUACAGGAAGAAACCUUUUCACGUGUGAAAAGCUGACGGUACUGUAAGAAUAAGGAUCGGCUAACUCCGUGCCAGCAGCCGCGGUAAUACGGAGGAUCCAAGCGUUAUCCGGAAUCAUUGGGUUUAAAGGGUCCGUAGGUGGAUAAUUAAGUCAGGGGUGAAAGUUUGCAGCUCAACUGUAAAAUUGCCUUUGAUACUGGUUAUCUUGAAUUAUUGUGAAGU